GGCGGCGUAGCUCAGUUGGUCAGAGCGACCGGUUCAUACCCGGUAGGUCAUAAGUUCGAAUCUCAUCGCCGCUACCA
rnacentral:tRNA from 1 species